rnacentral:rRNA from 1 species
GUGCCAGCAGCCGCGGUAAUACGUAGGGGGCAAGCGUUGUCCGGAUUUAUUGGGCGUAAAGAGCGUGUAGGCGGCUAGGUAGGUCCGUUGUGAAAACUCGAGGCUCAACCUCGAGACGUCGAUGGAAACCAUCUAGCUAGAGUCCGGAAGAGGAGAGUGGAAUUCCUGGUGUAGCGGUGAAAUGCGCAGAUAUCAGGAAGAACACCCGUGGCGAAGGCGGCUCUCUGGUACGUGACUGACGCUGAGACGCGAAAGCGUGGGGAGCAAACAGGAUUAGAUACCCUGGUAGUCC